UAAGACGUAGGGGGCGAGCGUUGUCCGGAUUUAUUGGGCGUAAAGCGCGCGUAGGCGGCCGCUUAAGUCGGAUGUGAAAACCCGAGGCUCAACCUCGGGCCUGCAUUCGAUACUGGGCGGCUUGAGGCAGACAGGGGAGAGUGGAAUUCCUGGUGUAGCGGUGAAAUGCGCAGAUAUCAGGAGGAACACCGGUGGCGAAGGCGGCUCUCUGGGUCUGUCCUGACGCUCAGGCGCGAAAGCUAGGGGAGCAAACAGGAUUAGAUACCCUGGUAGUCCUAGCCGUAAACGUUGGGUGCUAGGUGUGGGGCGGCGUUUGACUCGCUCUGUGCCGUAGCUAACGCAUUAAGCACCCCGCCUGGGGAGUACGGCCGCAAGGCUA
rnacentral:rRNA from 1 species